UCUGGGGAGUGGAGAGGCAGGAACGCAGCGUCUAUGAAGACCGGCCCCUUUGCAGAGCACUCCAACCAGCUGUGGAACAUCAGUGCUGUCCCGUCCUGGUCUAAAGUGAACCAGGGCCUCAUUCGCAUGUAUAAGGCGGAGUGCCUGGAGAAGUUCCCUGUGAUCCAGCACUUCAAGUUCGGGAGCCUGCUGCCCAUCCAUCCGGUCACAUCAGGCUAGGACAGGCUGAACCACCAGAGCCACCCUGGCCAGGUUCCUGUGCCCUCUCUGACCCAGCACCCCUCCCACCCACCUUCUGUUCUUUCUGUUUGAUGAGAUGGGUGCUAAGCAGGGUCUGAGUUGGGGGAAUUAACCAGAGUAUGGCCAGUUUUUGACUGUCCAUCUGGUGGACAAGCAAGAAGAGAGGGACUUGGACAUGGUCCCAGGCCCUGCCGUCCCUGUGUUCCUGCUUCCUUUCCCUCCUGCCCAGGCCUAUUUGGAGGAGACAAGGACAUCCUGCUCUUCCCACUGCUUCCCCCUCCCCCUCCCAUGAUAUGACGUCUCCCUCACUAAGAGCGGGGUGGGGGUGGGGGGCUCACCUCUGGAGACCGGCUGGUGGGUUUCCCACUAGCCAUGUUCCACUAGGUGUCUGCUUUGAGGCUGGAGGGUGAGGCUGGGGUGGGGAGAUGAUUGUGUAGUGACCAUGGAUGAUAAGGCUUCCCAAGGUCCCAUCCUAGGCCCUGGGGAGCUGAUUGUAUCCUCAUGCUGGCUUGGUUGGUUCCCUGGCCCUUGGCUUUGCUAGGUUCCUGACUGCUAAUACCCUUUCCUGGGGGUAGCCUAGCUGUGGGCGCUGCCCUGGCUCCUGGGAGAGCC
rnacentral:lncRNA from 1 species